GUUUUUAUAGUUUAAGUAAAACAUUACAUUUUCAAUGUAAAAUUGAGGUCACUCUUUAAAUA
rnacentral:tRNA from 1 species